GGUGCAGUAUCAGAAGGAAAAAGAUAAAAAGCCAUGCAGGGAGAGAAGACUGAACAGGCAUCAGAGUUUCAGAUGGAGAAAGAGAGCACCUGGGGCAGAAAGACAGAGGUGAUGAGAUUCCAGAGGUUGAAACUGGCAGGGAGAUUUUAAGCAAAUGGCAUCUGGUUAAAGGUCAGAUUCGGG